AUUGAACGCUGGCGGCAGGCCUAACACAUGCAAGUCGAACGGUAACAGGAAGAAGCUUGCUUCUUCGCUGACGAGUGGCGGACGGGUGAGUAAUGUCUGGGAAACUGCCUGAUGGAGGGGGAUAACUACUGGAAACGGUAGCUAAUACCGCAUAACGUCGCAAGACCAAAGAGGGGGACCUUCGGGCCUCUUGCCAUCGGAUGUGCCCAGAUGGGAUUAGCUAGUAGGUGGGGUAACGGCUCACCUAGGCGACGAUCCCUAGCUGGUCUGAGAGGAUGACCAGCCACACUGGAACUGAGACACGGUCCAGACUCCUACGGGAGGCAGCAGUGGGGAAUAUUGCACAAUGGGCGCAAGCCUGAUGCAGCCAUGCCGCGUGUAUGAAGAAGGCCUUCGGGUUGUAAAGUACUUUCAGCGGGGAGGAAGGGAGUAAAGUUAAUACCUUUGCUCAUUGACGUUACCCGCAGAAGAAGCACCGGCUAACUCCGUGCCAGCAGCCGCGGUAAUACGGAGGGUGCAAGCGUUAAUCGGAAUUACUGGGCGUAAAGCGCACGCAGGCGGUUUGUUAAGUCAGAUGUGAAAUCCCCGGGCUCAACCUGGGAACUGCAUCUGAUACUGGCAAGCUUGAGUCUCGUAGAGGGGGGUAGAAUUCCAGGUGUAGCGGUGAAAUGCGUAGAGAUCUGGAGGAAUACCGGUGGCGAAGGCGGCCCC
rnacentral:rRNA from 1 species